GACAGGUUGAGAUCCCUUAGCAGGGAGUUGUUGAUUCUGAGGUGCAAGACAGUGCCUCAGCCGGUUCAUGAAGCUCUUCAAAGCAGGAGGUGUCCUUGCAGAGAAAGAGCUGGAAAAUACUGGAGGAGGGAACAGCAGCCACGAAAGCCACCACUCAAGAGCACAUGGAGCCCUUUCAGUGGCCCCAUAGGACUCCUUGGGCUUACACAUCUGGCGUGCUCUCUAUCCACUUCCUCUACCCCAUGCCUUCUCCACACUGACUCUCAGGAAGACAUCGGUGACCAAAGAGGGGCAUGACUGCAGCCUCCAGUCUGUUUCCUUGGAUAAAGCAUUCCCCAGUUUUCUCAUGGGCCGCUAAGUGGGCAUCAGAUGAACACCGUGACUUCGUUUUCCAGGUGGGAGAGUUGACUGUAUCGGGUUCUCCAUCAUUUGCAAGCUGCAUCAGGCUGCCAGGAGUUGUCUUGAUAUUGAGGCAAGAAGGGUCUGGUGCUGCGAUCUGUACCUCCCUCCAUCCUUCCCACACAGGAUCGCUCCCAUCAUUGUCCUAACUGUGGGGUCCCAGGGGGUGUUGGGGCAGGGAUGGCAAACAUUUGAAACAUACAUAUCAUCGUGCUUUAAUCUGGCGUCUGUGGCAGACACCCAUAAUGUGUCGUGCAGUAUUUCUCAACACGGUACUCCAGGCAGCAGCACAAAACAAGUGCAAUGGGAACUCCAGGAACUCCACCCAAGGCCUGGUACUGAGGAAACCAUGACGGCUCCUCAUUUAGAAGGAAUGCUGACCUUCUCUCCCACUGAGGGCCACAGGCUUCGUGGCCAGGGCUUUGAGAAUGUUACAGGAAAAUGCAGCCCAGUGCCUAUUUCAUACAAGCAAUUCUCCUCUCCAUCCUCAUCUUUCCCAGCAGGAAUCAUUUUGCCAGUGUCAGGUUUUGUCUGUCUAGUUAAGAAGGCAGGCUCUGGGGAUUUCCCCUGUGGUCCAGCAGCAAAGACUCCAAGCUCCCAGUGCAGGGGAGUCCGAGUUCAACCCCUGGUCAAGGAACUAGAUGCCGCAAGCCACAACUAAGAGUUCAAGUGUGUGCUCAGUCCUACUCUUUGCAACCCCC